rnacentral:rRNA from 1 species
AUUACCGAGUGAGGGCCCUCUGGGUCCAACCUCCCACCCGUGUUUAUUUUACCUUGUUGCUUCGGCGGGCCCGCCUUAACUGGCCGCCGGGGGGCUCACGCCCCCGGGCCCGCGCCCGCCGAAGACACCCUCGAACUCUGUCUGAAGAUUGAAGUCUGAGUGAAAAUAUAAAUUAUUUAAAACUUUCAACAACGGAUCUCUUGGUUCCGGCAUCGAUGAAGAACGCAGCGAAAUGCGAUACGUAAUGUGAAUUGCAAAUUCAGUGAAUCAUCGAGUCUUUGAACGCACAUUGCGCCCCCUGGUAUUCCGGGGGGCAUGCCUGUCCGAGCGUCAUUGCUGCCCUCAAGCCCGGCUUGUGUGUUGGGCCCCGUCCUCCGAUUUCCGGGGGACGGGCCCGAAAGGCAGCGGCGGCACCGCGUCCGGUCCUCGAGCGUAUGGGGCUUUGUCACCCGCUCUGUAGGCCCGGCCGGCGCUUGCCGAUCAACCCAAAUUUUUAUCCAGGUUGACCUCGGAUCAGGUAGGGAUACCCGCUGAACUUAAGCAUAUCAAUA